AGUCGAGCGAACCGACGGGAGCUUGCUCCCUUAGGUUAGCGGCGGACGGGUGAGUAACACGUGGGUAACCUGCCUGUAAGACUGGGAUAACUCCGGGAAACCGGGGCUAAUACCGGAUGCUUGAUUGAACCGCAUGGUUCAAUUAUAAAAGGUGGCUUUUAGCUACCACUUACAGAUGGACCCGCGGCGCAUUAGCUAGUUGGUGAGGUAACGGCUCACCAAGGCGACGAUGCGUAGCCGACCUGAGAGGGUGAUCGGCCACACUGGGACUGAGACACGGCCCAGACUCCUACGGGAGGCAGCAGUAGGGAAUCUUCCGCAAUGGACGAAAGUCUGACGGAGCAACGCCGCGUGAGUGAUGAAGGUUUUCGGAUCGUAAAACUCUGUUGUUAGGGAAGAACAAGUACCGUUCGAACAGGGCGGUACCUUGACGGUACCUAACCAGAAAGCCACGGCUAACUACGUGCCAGCAGCCGCGGUAAUACGUAGGUGGCAAGCGUUGUCCGGAAUUAUUGGGCGUAAAGCGCGCGCAGGCGGUUUCUUAAGUCUGAUGUGAAAGCCCCCGGCUCAACCGGGGAGGGUCAUUGGAAACUGGGGAACUUGAGUGCAGAAGAGGAGAGUGGAAUUCCACGUGUAGCGGUGAAAUGCGUAGAGAUGUGGAGGAACACCAGUGGCGAAGGCGACUCUCUGGUCUGUAACUGACGCUGAGGCGCGAAAGCGUGGGGAGCGAACAGGAUUAGAUACCCUGGUAGUCCACGCCGUAAACGAUGAGUGCUAAGUGUUAGAGGGUUUCCGCCCUUUAGUGCUGCAGCAAACGCAUUAAGCACUCCGCCUGGGGAGUACGGUCGCAAGACUGAAACUCAAAGGAAUUGACGGGGGCCCGCACAAGCGGUGGAGCAUGUGGUUUAAUUCGAAGCAACGCGAAGAACCUUACCAGGUCUUGACAUCCUCUGACACCCCUAGAGAUAGGGCUUCCCCUUCGGGGGCAGAGUGACAGGUGGUGCAUGGUUGUCGUCAGCUCGUGUCGUGAGAUGUUGGGUUAAGUCCCGCAACGAGCGCAACCCUUGAUCUUAGUUGCCAGCAUUCAGUUGGGCACUCUAAGGUGACUGCCG
rnacentral:rRNA from 1 species